GAUGAACGCUGGCGGCGUGCCUAAUACAUGCAAGUCGAGCGAACGGACGAGAAGCUUGCUUCUCUGAUGUUAGCGGCGGACGGGUGAGUAACACGUGGAUAACCUACCUAUAAGACUGGGAUAACUUCGGGAAACCGGAGCUAAUACCGGAUGAUAUUUUGAACCGCAUGGUUCAAAAGUGAAAGACGGUUUUGCUGUCACUUAUAGAUGGAUCCGCGCUGCAUUAGCUAGUUGGUAAGGUAACGGCUUACCAAGGCAACGAUGCAUAGCCGACCUGAGAGGGUGAUCGGGCACACUGGAACUGAGACACGGUCCAGACUCCUACGGGAGGCAGCAGUAGGGAAUCUUCCGCAAUGGGCGAAAGCCUGACGGAGCAACGCCGCGUGAGUGAUGAAGGUCUUCGGAUCGUAAAACUCUGUUAUUAGGGAAGAACAUAUGUGUAAGUAACUGUGCACAUCUUGACGGUACCUAAUCAGAAAGCCACGGCUAACUACGUG
rnacentral:rRNA from 1 species